rnacentral:rRNA from 1 species
GAUGAACGCUGGCGGCGUGCCUAAUACAUGCAAGUCGAGCGAACAGAUGAUGAGCUUGCUCCUCUAACGUUAGCGGCGGACGGGUGAGUAACACGUGGAUAACCUACCUAUAUUACUGGGAUAACUACGGGAAACAGGAGCUAAUACCGGCUAAUAUAAUGAACCGCAUGGAUCAAUAGUGAAUGACGGCUUUGCUGUCACUUAUAGAUGGAUCCGCGCCGCCUUAGCUAGUUGGUAAGGUAACGGCUUACCAAGGCAACGAUGCGUAGCCGACCUGAGAGGGUGAUCGGCCACCCUGGAACUGGGGCACGGUCCCAGCUCCUACGGGAAGCAGCAGUAGGGGAACUUCCGACAUGGGGGGAAACCUGGCGGCACAACGACGCGUGAGGGAUAAAGGGCUUCCGAUCGUUAAACUCUGUUAUUAGGGAAAAACAAAUAUGUAAGUAACUCUCCGCGUCUUGGCGGUAACUAAUCAGAUAAGCACGGCUAACUACCUU